GGAUUAGAUACCCUGGUAGUCCACGCCGUAAACGAUGGACACUAGUUGUUGGGCUUCGGUUCAGUGACUAAGCGAAAGUGAUAAGUGUCCCACCUGGGGAGUACGAUCGCAAGAUUGAAACUCAAAGGAAUUGACGGGGGCCCGCACAAGCGGUGGAGCAUGUGGUUUAAUUCGAUGAUACGCGAGGAACCUUACCAGGGCUUAAAUGUAGAGUGACAGGGCUAGAGAUAGCUUUUUCUUCGGACACUUUACAAGGUGCUGCAUGGUUGUCGUCAGCUCGUGCC
rnacentral:rRNA from 1 species